GGCUCAGAUUGAACGCUGGCGGUAUGCCUUACACAUGCAAGUCGAACGGUAGAGGAGCAAUCCUCGAGAGUGGCGAACGGGUGAGUAAUACAUCGGAACGUGCCCAGUCGUGGGGGAUAACGUAGCGAAAGCUACGCUAAUACCGCAUACGACCCGAGGGUGAAAGCGGGGGACUCGCAAGAGCCUCGCGCGAUCGGAGCGGCCGAUGGCAGAUUAGGUAGUUGGUGGGGUAAAGGCCCACCAAGCCUGCGAUCUGUAGCUGGUCUGAGAGGACGACCAGCCACACUGGGACUGAGACACGGCCCAGACUCCUACGGGAGGCAGCAGUGGGGAAUUUUGGACAAUGGGCGAAAGCCUGGUCCAGCCAUACCGCGUGCGGGAAGAAGGCCUUCGGGUUGUAAACCGCUUUUGUCGGGGAAGAAAUACUUCGGGCUAAUACCCUGGGGUGAUGGCGGUACCUGAAGAAUAAGCACCGGCUAACUACGUGCCAGCAGCCGCGGUAAUACGUAGGGUGCAAGCGUUAAUCGGAAUUACUGGGCGUAAAGCGUGCGCAGGCGGUUCUAUAAGACAGAUGUGAAAUCCCCGGGCUCAACCUGGGAACUGCAUUUGUGACUGUAGAGCUAGAGUACGGU
rnacentral:rRNA from 1 species